AUACGAGGGGAGCGAGCGUUAUUCGGAAUUACUGGGCGUAAAGAGUUUGUAGGCGGUUAUGUAAGUCAGUUGUUAAAGACUAUGGCCUAACCAUAGAAAGGCGAUCGAUACUGCAUGACUAGAGGAUGGAAGAGAGAAGUGGAAUUCUCGGAGUAGCGGUAAAAUGCGUAGAUCUCGAGAGGAACACCGAUGGCGAAGGCAGCUUCUUGGUCCAUUUCUGACGCUGAGGCACGAAAGCGUGGGGAGCGAACAGGAUUAGAAACCCCAGUAGUCC
rnacentral:rRNA from 1 species